GAUGAAGAACGUAGCGAAAUGCGAUAAGUAAUGUGAAUUGCAGAAUUCAGUGAAUCAUCGAAUCUUUGAACGCACCUUGCGCCCUUUGGCAUUCCGAAGGGCAUGCCUUUUUGAGUAUCAUGAACACCUCAACUCUUCAUGGUUUUCCAUGAUGAGCUUGGACUUUGGGGGUCUUGCUGGCCUGCGGUCGGCUCCUCUCAAAUGAAUCAGCUUACCAGUGUUUGGUGGGCAUCACAGGUGUGAUAACUAUCUGCGCUUGUGGUUUUCCACCAAGUAACCUUCAGCAGUGGAGGUUCACUGGAGCUCACAGACGUCUCUCCUCAGUGAGGACAGCCCUUUGAAUGUUUGAUCUCAAAUCAGGUAGGACUACCCGCUGAACUUAAGCAUAUCAAUAAGCGGAGGA
rnacentral:misc_RNA from 1 species